GACGAACGCUGGCGGCGUGCCUAAUACAUGCAAGUCGAGCGCAGGAAACUGACGGAACUCUUCGGAGGGAAGGCAGCGGAAUGAGCGGCGGACGGGUGAGUAACACGUAAGGAACCUGCCUCAAGGAUUGGGAUAACUCCGAGAAAUCGGAGCUAAUACCGGAUAGUUCAACGGACCGCAUGGUCCGCUGAUGAAAGGCGCUUCGGCGUCACCUUGAGAUGGCCUUGCGGUGCAUUAGCUAGUUGGUGGGGUAACGGCCCACCAAGGCGACGAUGCAGAGCCGACCUGAGAGGGUGAUCGGCCACACUGGGACUGAGACACGGCCCAGACUCCUACGGGAGGCAGCAGUAGGGAAUCUUCCACAAUGGACGAAAGUCUGAUGGAGCAACGCCGCGUGAGUGAUGAAGGGUUUCGGAUCGUAAAACUCUGUUGUAAGGGAAGAACACGUACGAGAGGAAAUGCUCGUACCUUGACGGUACCUUACGAGAAAGCCACGGCUAACUACGUGCCAGCAGCCGCCGCGG
rnacentral:rRNA from 1 species